GUCUAUGGCCAUACCACCCUGAAUGCACCAGAUCUUUCCUGAUCUCAGAAGCUAAAUGGGUUCAGGCCUGGUUAGUGUAAGGUCAUCAACC
rnacentral:rRNA from 1 species